rnacentral:rRNA from 1 species
UACGGAGGGAGCUAGCGUUGUUCGGAAAUACUGGGCGUAAAGCGCACGUAGGCGGCGCAGCAAGUCAGGGGUGAAAUCCCGGGGCCCAACCCCGGAACUGCCCUUGAAACUGCAGUGCUAGAAUUCUGGAGAGGCGAGUGGAAUUCCGAGUGUAGAGGUGAAAUUCGUAGAUAUUCGGAAGAACACCAGUGGCGAAGGCGGCUCACUGGACUGGUAUUGACGCUGAGGUGCGAAAGCGUGGGGAGCAAACAGG